rnacentral:rRNA from 1 species
GGCGUGAGCGAACGCGGCGGCGAUCCACCCGGUCCCAUCCCGAACCCGGUCGUGCCCCCCGCCAGCGCUGGCGGAGUACUGGGCGGGCAACUGCCUGGGAAGCGCGGCCCUCGCGCCU